UGGGGCAGCUUUCGGAGCAGAAUUCUAUUAAAACCGCGGGUGGAAGUUUUUGGCUAAUGCAGUGUUCGUAGUUUGCCACAUUAAGGAAACGAUAUUCGUCAACUUUAAGAUGGGAGAGUAACAGUACCUUCUUCACAACGUUGCUGUGUGGAUUAAAUGAAACAAGCAAAGUGCACAGAAGGGUGUUAGGCUUCGGAAGGAAAGUAUUUUCCAGAAGCCCUGACCACCUGUUAUCAGAUUCUUCUUCAGUCUCAAGAUCAGAACUGUGUUAUAUGUAUCUGCUUUAAACAAUUCUUGAGAAAAGGAGUGGAGAUACCAUGAUAGAUUUACUCAUCAGUAUUCCCACCAUAAAGCCCUGAAGAACGCAGUCUUGGAUCAAACCUGAACAAAACUGAAGUUCAGUUACCAAGCCACCUCAAGUCUAGAAGCUGCUUCAUUCUCAAGCAAACUUUUAAAAUUCACUAUAUAACUUCUCAAUAAUAAAAAUUAGAACUAAAAUACCAUUUUCAUAAGUAAUAGAAAAUGUAAAUUUUUAUUCAUAAUAAUUAGGAACUUAAAUCAGUAGGAUACUAAAUUUCUUAAAAAAAAAGAUUUCUUUAUAUAUUUAUUUAUUAUUUAGAGACAGCA